rnacentral:lncRNA from 1 species
AGAGCUGCCACAGCUCCUGGUCAUCCUGGGUCUCUGACACUUUAAAUUAGAUUAGGCUGGGCCUCCAUGCUGCAGAUUAGGAGGGACCGGGACGCCACAGUUCCCCCUGUCAACCCAGCUCCAUGGCAUAGCGAUUGGUCUCUGCUAUGUCUCCCACCAGCUCCACUGUCAGAAACAACUUGAAGCACUCCGCCUCAGAUGGAAAUGGCAACAGGCGUUGCACUCCAGAGUGGGACUCAUCAAAGCAAACAGCAGGGCCAGGAGAGGUGAAAUGGCUGGCAGCCUUCCAGCUACCACAGAACUCCUGUACGUCAUCCACUGUCGGUCUGCCUCCAUCACCACCAGCAUCUUCAAAGGGAACUGGGACUUUGUCAGUGGACAAGGGGUCCUCAGAUUCAGGGUUCUCAAUGGCUGGGGGGCAGCUCCUCACUGUCACUGUCAGAAUCUGAUUCCUGACUUUCAGACAUUGUCAGAAUUUUUUAACAUCUCCAGAAUUUCUGCAUUUGUGAGUUGUCUCCUUUUGAAAGACUUUGCUAAUGCUACGGCUUAGCUCACUAGUUACAUACAUAAACAGCAACACUGAAUGGCUCAGAGUGGGAGUGAGAGGUUACGUGAUUGACUGCCUGCACACGCCAUUUGUAUCAAUAAAUCACUAUCAGAAAAUGUUUUGUGUGGUAAUUAUUGAUAUAUUUACUGUUUUCUUCCCAUGUUUUUCAAGUACCGGUGAUAAAUAAUGCAUUCCGAUUCUUGCAUAGAUUGUAAUGGGC